UGGGGAAUAUUGGGCAAUGGGCGAAAGCCUGACCCAGCAACGCCGCGUGAAGUAUGAAGGCCUUCGGGUUGUAAACUUCUUUGAUCAGGGAAGAAACAAAUGACGGUACCUGAAAAACAAGCCACGGCUAACUACGUGCCAGCAGCCGCGGUAAUACGUAGGUGGCGAGCGUUAUCCGGAUUUACUGGGUGUAAAGGGCGUGCAGGCGGGCUGAUAAGUCAGAUGUGAAAUCCCCGAGCUUAACUCGGGAACUGCAUCUGAUACUGUUGGUCUUGAGUGCUGGAGAGGAUAGUGGAAUUCCUAGUGUAGCGGUAAAAUGCGCAGAUAUUAGGAGGAACACCAGUGGCGAAGGCGGCUAUCUGGCCAUAAUCUGACGCUGAGGUACGAAAGCGUGGGUAGCAAACAGG
rnacentral:rRNA from 1 species